rnacentral:rRNA from 1 species
AGAGUUUGAUCAUGGCUCAGGACGAACGCUGGCGGUAUGCUUAACACGUGCAAGUCGAACGAGACAAAAGAGAAGUGCUUGCACGGAUCUUUUAGAAAGUGGCGAACGGGUGAGUAACGCGUGGGUAACCUACCCUAUGGAAAGGAAUAGCCUCGGGAAACUGGGAGUAAUGCCUUAUAAGAUAUAUUUGUCGCAUGGCAGAUGUAUUAAACGCUCCGGUGCCAUAGGAUGGACCCGCGUCCCAUUAGCUAGUUGGUGAGAUAACAGCUCACCAAGGCGACGAUGGGUAACCGGUCUGAGAGGGCGAACGGUCACACUGGAACUGAGACACGGUCCAGACUCCUACGGGAGGCAGCAGUGGGGAAUAUUGCGCAAUGGGGGAAACCCUGACGCAGCAAUACCGCGUGAGUGAAGAAGGUUUUCGGAUCGUAAAGCUCUGUUAUUGGGGGAGAAAAAAAGACGGUACCCAAGAAGAAAGUCCCGGCUAACUACGUGCCAGCAGCCGCGGUAAUACGUAGGGGACAAGCGUUGUCCGGAUUUACUGGGCGUAAAGGGCACGCAGGCGGUUUUUUAAGUCAGAUGUGAAAGGUACCGGCUCAACCGGUGACAUGCAUUUGAAACUGAAAGACUUGAGUAUUGGAGAGGCAAGUGGAAUUCCUAGUGUAGCGGUGAAAUGCGUAGAUAUUAUGAGGAACACCGGUGGCGAACGCGGCUUGCUGGACAAAUACUGACGCUGAGCGCGAAAGCGUGGGGAGCAAACAGAUUAGAUACCCUGUAGUCCACGCCGUAACGAUGAGUGCUAGGUGUUGGGGAGACUCAGUGCCGCAGCUAACGCAAUAAGCACUCCGCCUGGG